rnacentral:misc_RNA from 1 species
GUGAAUCAUCGAAUCUUUGAACGCAAAUUGCACUCUCUGGUAUUCCGGAGAGUAUGCCUGUUUGAGGGUCAGUUUAAAUAAAAAUCGGUGUGGUUGCUGCCUUUCGUGGUGACGCACCGGAUUUGGGUCGUCUUGCCUUCGGUUAAGUGACCUAAAAUUUUGCUUGAUUUUUUUUGAACGUAUUUAAAUGAUUUUAUGUACGUUUGUGAUAUCGAAUACUAGGUGUGGUAAUCCUUAUGAUUACAGCCUGUAAUUUUUUAUCAAAAUAAUCUUCAAUA